UCUUUUAGGCGCGAGAGAGAAAACAGAGAAUAAAGAAUUUGGGCAGGGCCCCAUCAGACGCUCUGUCCAAUCUGUCAUUUCCGCCGCCGGCUCUCCUCUGUUUCAACCCUUCCUUCUUUACACUUCAUCUUCUCUGUUCUCUGGAUUCCAUCUCAUUUUCAUACUGAUUAUGGCCGAAUCCAAAUCGAACCCUUCGCCAUCCUCUCUUUCUCCCGAAAUGUUACAGAUUGAUGGAUCGCCUCGUGAUACCAAGGAGACUCAUGGAAGGCGUAAUGACAUUGACGAGAACACCCCGUUGGAUGAAGUCAAGGCGCCAAACGUGUUUGAGAGAAUGAAAGAGGAGAUUGAGGCGCUUGUCCAAACGAUCCAAGCAAAGGAUGACUCUGUGGCAGCAGAGUCCAAAGAGGAUAAAACAGACUCUCAAUCAGAUGGUUCAGUCAUAGCAGCAAAAGUGUUUGGAAGAGCAAAGGAUGAGAUUGGGAAGAUGUUGCACAUUAAUAAAACGAAGGAAACUCAUGGCCAGCGUGAUGACAUAGGAGAGGAUACCCCUUUAAAUGAAGUCAAAGCUCCUAAUUUAUUAGAGCGUGCAGUGGAAGAAUAUGAGGCUUUUAUGCAGACCAUUAAUUCUAAGAAAGAAUCUCAGACAUCCGACAAAAGGGAUGAAAAUGUUGCAUCAAUGCAGAAAGAAGCAAUGCCUCUCUCAGAAAUUAGUUCAAAUUUGAUAAUUCCAAUCAAUGAAGUGAUGGGGCCAAAUAUUUUUGAGAGAGCCAAAGAUGAAAUGGAGGCACUUGUUCAUACCAUCCAUCCUAAGAAGGAAACUGAUUCACUAGCCAAAGAAGGAUUUCUUACAAAACUCGGAAAAUGUUUGGAAAUAAUAUGCUCUCCGUCGAAAGAGAAGGAUAAUUGAAAGAGAAGGAUAAAUAAAGCCAAAGUUCUGCACAAGUCGGUAUAUUGCCUCAUUUCUACAAGAAGAAUUUCACUAUCAAUUUUUGAUGUGCAGAGCCAAUUUAAAGAAACGAAAAACGGAGAUUGAAACACACCUGAAGAAUGCUAAGUACAAGAACAAAGAUACCGAUGCCUCUAUGAGUUGGUACAUUGGCAUUAAUUUUAUUGUAAAGUUGUCUUCCAAGUACAACAGUAGUAAGUCCAAUGGCAAACCCCACAAACUGAAUUGCUGAAUGCAGAUAGUACCAAAGAGGAUCCUUAUGUUUGAAGUAUCUAGGAAUAAUUGCCCCAACUGGAAGGAUGAGACCCCAUCCAAUUAUUCCCAUUACACCGUGGUUCUUCUUUGUUUGACCAAUCUCACUGCCUGCUGCUGCUGCUGAAGACUUAGAGCCUGUGUCAAAGAGCAAUACAAGAAAAUCUUAAGGGUAUUAAAGCAAAUAGUUAACAAAGAAAAUUGAUGUCGACAGCAAAAGAAACCUGCAGAGAAGUCAAAAACAACAGCAGUUUUAUCACUGUGAGUAGACAAGUGAUGAUGUCUAGGAUAAGCAUUCCCAAAAGCCAAGAGAAUUGGUUGCUGAGAAACCGUAGCACUGAAUUUGAGUUGAAAGGCCAAGUAAAUGGUGGCACCAUGCAAUACAACUGAGGAAGGAACAUUAGUGAGUGGCAAUUCUCCUUUGUCUUGAAUUACUUCUGAUUGCUUUCUUCCUUGCAAGUAAUAUUGAUGGAUUCUUGCAUGCCCUUUCUUGUUAACCCAUCCCACCAUUGCACUUGAUCCCACCAUCAUCCCAUCUCUUGAAAACCCAAUCCCCACCCACCCUGUUGUGUAUAAAGCUGAUACAAUGAUGUUCAUUACAUUCUCUUCAUUUUGUGUAUACUGCAUAAUCCAACACAAAAAUCCUUCAAGUA